CUUCAGGGAGGACAACGAUUUGGAGUUGACAAAAACCACCGUCAAUGCUGAGAUGAAGUGAGACUGUUGAACAGAUACCGCAAAACAACAAAUAUGAUGCAGAAGAAACAUUUGGUCGGACUACGACAGGUAUGACAAUUCUACCGCGGAAGAUUCUACUGACCUUCGGCAGCUCCAUGAAGCUGGGCCGAGCCGUGGAGAUGAGGCCCAGCGUUUUCAGAGAGCAAUUAACAAGCUGAGAGAGGAUGUCGCAUGCCGCUUCUGCU